GAUGAACGCUGGCGGCGUGCCUAAUACAUGCAAGUCGAGCGAAUGGAUUAAGAGCUUGCUCUUAUGAAGUUAGCGGCGGACGGGUGAGUAACACGUGGGUAACCUGCCCAUAAGACUGGGAUAACUCCGGGAAACCGGGGCUAAUACCGGAUAACAUUUUGAACCGCAUGGUUCGAAAUUGAAAGGCGGCUUCGGCUGUCACUUAUGGAUGGACCCGCGUCGCAUUAGCUAGUUGGUGAGGUAACGGCUCACCAAGGCAACGAUGCGUAGCCGACCUGAGGGGGUGAUCGGCCGCGCUGGGACUGAGACACGACCCAGGCUCCUACGGGAGGCAGCAGUAGGGAAUCUUCCGCAAUGGUCGAAAGUCUGACGGAGCAACGCCGCGUGAGUGAUGGAGGCUUUCGGGUCGUAAAACUCUGUUGUUAGGGAAGAACAAGUGCUAGUUGAAUAAGCUGGCACCUUGACGGUACCUAACCAGAAAGCCACGGCUAACUACGUGCCAGCCGCCGCAGUAA
rnacentral:rRNA from 1 species